ACGCGUGCCCCUGACUUCUCUUUUAUCUCCUCGAAUCCCACCUUUUCUCACCCGCCGCCGCAGUUCAGUCACUGCUACUCACGCCGCCGCCGUCGUCCCUCCUCACGCUGACGCCGCAGCCACUACCGAUGCUGCCGUAGGUGUCUUCGCCGCCGCCGCCACCUCUUUUCCCAACCCUCCUCCAACCCUAGCCGUCGUUCGAUAUUGAUUAGAACAGCCGAGAGCCUCAUGCACUAUCUCGGCUACCGCUAAUUUCGCUUUCCGUUUCUGCUAGCGUUUCUGUAGUUGCGCCGCCAAUGCUCCACAGCAACCAGCAUGAUUAGAUCUCCGAUUCAGCUGGAGUUUUCUUGCUUGUCUCCCUAAACUAUCUUGUGCAUGAUUAGCCAUACACCAUAGAUAAUAUAUACAUAAAAUGAUUUUGAUUGCUUGACUGUGAAGUAGGAAUUGGAUUAAGCUUAUCCUAUAUGCAUUUGAUUACUGCUAUAAAGUAAUUUUAGCACAUGAUGUUAGAAGACAAGCAAUAGGUUUAUUUGAGAAAUAAAUUAGACCUUAGAUUGGGGAUAGAUCUUCUAAAGCUUAUUUACCACUUUCUAUAAGAAAAUUUAAUUACAUGCUCCUAUAUCCCUCUAUUGCUUGUCCUUUUAUAGUCCUGUUGUUUAUCUGAUUGUUGUUGCUAUUAAAAUUGAUUAAUGAUAUUUACAAUGGAUAACAGAAAUUUGGAGAUAACAGAGGAGAACUUAGGAUAGUUCUCUUAAAGAGAAUACAAACCCUUAUGAGAAUUUUAAGAGGUUAAAUAACGAGAAUAAUUUUGUUGAAGUAGUUACCUAAAACUGAAUAAUAUGAGAUAGCUUCGAUAGGAAUAUGAUCCUCGAGUUUAUAUUGCAGAAUAAUUCCCUCCCUUUAUGCAACCUUGCCCAAUCAUCCAAUUAAUUCGGGUUAAUCACUUCAAAUCAUUGUUGAUAAAAGCAACAAUAAUAUUUAAAAGUUUGAAUAUAUUAACACAUUCGCAAUAGUAGAAAUGAAAUUAUUUCCAGUUGAAGUUUUGGUAUUGCCGUUGUCACCAAACAAUUAUUGUUUAGGAUGAACUGUAUGUAUUUUUUUUUUUAUAAAUUUGCUAGAGUGAUCCAUGCUUAAUUAUUGAAAGAGUAAAAAUAUAAAACAGAUCUCUUUUUUCAAAAAUAUUCAAAACGAUCUUUUCUUUAGUCAUUUUCAUUCUUACUAUUUAUGUUUUUGCAAACCUAAUACAAAAGCAAUAGAAAGUUGUUUUUUUGCAACUCUAUAAAUAUGAAAUAUUGAAUAUUUUCAAUUUCCUGCUUAAAAUUAUAAGUUAUAAGAUUUAAGUACUUUUGGAUACACAUAAUGUUGGUCUUUUUCUAUUUAUAAAAGGCAGUCCGGUGCACAAAACUCCCGUCAUGCGGGGUCCCGGGGAAGGAUCCAUUGUAUGCGGUCUUACCCUGCUUUUUGCAAGAGGCUAUUUCAAGGUCUUUUUCUGUUUAUCUCUUAGGUAAAUGUUAAUUAUGUCAACUAAUAUCGACAUAGGGCUUUGAUUCUUAAUAUUGAUUUUUAUUUUAUAUAAUUAGUUAUUUUCUACUAUGCUAUAUAAUCAAUUCUUUCUUAGCCAAAAUGUACCUUCCUUUCUUCUUAGUACUUCCUUUUUUUUACAUGUUGUCCAGCUUUCCCACUUCUUGCUUGCAAUUUUUUUAUUUAUUUUUUUCAUGUUGUCGUGGAUACAGAGUUGAUGAAAUCUAGUAUUAGUCAUUCUUUAGUUAGUUCUUUAUACUUUCUAUCAUAAUAGUGCAACGACGUUUUGAUUAUUGAACAUUCAGGUUUAACCUUUAUAAAGAGAACUAGGAUACACAGGAGGCUCUAGAACUGAUUGGAAAGAUGCUGGGAGUCAAUGCACAUCACAGAUUUAACAGAGUUUUAUUUCCUUUUUCGUUGUUUUCUCCUUUGGCAAUACUUGAUGCUAUGUAAUUUUUCUAUAUAACUGAGCAUUAUUCCUGACAGCAACGAUCAUUUGGCUUUGCUGGUACGAAAGAUAAACUAUCCGUGUCUACUCAGAGGGAAUGAAUUUCCUUUUGCAAAAUGUUACCAUCUUCAAGCAGCGGGCAUAAAGGUUGGUGAACUUAACAGCAUAAUGUUUGGGGUUAAAUUAGGAGAUUUCUGUUACGUGAAUGAGGGGCUUAUUCUGGGUCAGCUGACUGGAAACUAUUUCACAAUUACUUUGAGAGGGAUCACUGCAGAUUCUGAAGAUAUCAUCAAAGAAGCCACAGAUACCUUACGGAGAAAUGGAUUUAUCAACUAUUAUGGUUUAAACAGAUAAAGAUAAUGAAGAUAAAGUAAGUAUCAAAACAACAUUGUCUAAGCAAAAAUCAAAUACUCUAGAAGAGGAUAUCAAUGAAGAGAAAGGAGGUGAAGGAGGAUCAGAAGAAAUUGAUGUGGAUGAUAUUAUUGAUGAAAUUUAAAAAAUACUGUAUUAUUUGUUUAGUUUCAUCCCUUCAUAGAGUAUUAGAGUUAUUGAACUUUUCCUUUCAGUUUUAUUUUAUGUUUUUAAUUAUUAU